rnacentral:lncRNA from 1 species
GGAAUUUACAUCUUCCCAAGACAAAUAAAAUACCUCUGACACUCAACUCAGAGUGCUUGCCCAUGAUUAUAUCAUGGAGAGAGUGUCGUUUUUAAAUCUGGGGAGUAAGGAAUGCAGAGAAGGAAAUGAAGAAUAAGUUAAGAGCUUUCUGCCAUUGUUAGACUCAGGAGGGGUUCUGAAUUUCAGAACCAGGCUGCUCAUUGAUGAUAUCUUGACUCUCCCAGGUUCUCACCAGGAUCCAAUGGCCCUAAGGAGACAAGUACAUUUGCUUGGAAAACUGGUCACCUAAUUCCCAAAAGGACAGAGCUAACAUUAUAUGUCUCAGCAUCCAGUCCAUCCUAGAUGGAUUUCGAUUCUAUCUAGGGAAUCUCAUCAAACAACCAGGGAGGAUCAACCACCAGAGAAAAGAAGAGACUGGGAGUCAUCACCAUGUCCCCAACAGAAUUUUCAUCUAUCCUUCUGAGGACAGCUCCAAGUGAUUACCUAGAGGACUUUGCUUCAUAAUAAGUCAACCUUCAUUCCUGUGCAGCCCCACCUCUCACCUUCCCAAAAUGUCUGCCUCCCAUCUUCUGGGUCCAUUCAUUCUCUCAAAUGAUUUGCUGCCCCUCAAAAGAAUUUUCCACGUUCCUCAUCUCUCCCCUCCCCUGGGAAAAAGCAUAUAUAAGCUUCUAUACCACCCUGGGUUAUUGGGUAAUCAUUCUCCAGCAAUUCUCCCAUCCUGUGCACAUCAAAUAAAUUCUGUAUGCGUUUUCUUUUAUUAAUGUGCUUUUUGUCUGUUGAUUUUCAGUGAGUCUUUAGAGGGCAAAGGGGAAAUUUUCUCCCUGCAAGAGUCUUAUUAUCCGAGUGUCUCUGCAAGCAGCACGUGGG